CAACCUCAACUCAUAUGGGACUACCCCCUGAAUUUAAGCAUAUUAAUUAGGGGAGGAAAAGAAACUAACAAGGAUUUUCUUAGUAGCGGCGAGCGAAAAGAAAACAGUUCAGCACUAAGUCACUUUGUCUAUAUGGCAAAUGUGAGAUGCAGUGUAUGGAGCGUCAAUAUUCUAGUAUGAGAAAUUAAUGAUUUAAGUCCUUCUUAAAUGAGGCCAUUUACCCAUAGAGGGUGCCAGGCCCGUAUAACGUUAAUGAUUACUAGAUGAUGUUUCCAAAGAGUCGUGUUGCUUGAUAGUGCAGCACUAAGUGGGUGGUAAACUCCAUCUAAAACUAAAUAUAACCAUGAGACCGAUAGUAAACAAGUACCGUGAGGGAAAGUUGAAAAGAACUCUGAAUAGAGAGUUAAACAGUACGUGAAACUGCUUAGAGGUUAAGCCCGAUGAACCUGAAUAUCCGUUAUGGAAAAUUCAUCAUUAAAAUUGUAAUAUUUAAAUAAUAUUAUUAAGAAUAAUGUGCAUUUUUUCCAUAUAAGGACAUUGUAAUCUAUUAGCAUAUCCCAAAUUUAUCAUAAAAUAUAACUUAUAGUUUAUUCCAAUUAAAUUGCUUGCAUUUUAACACAGAAUAAAUGUUAUUAAUUUGAUAAAGUGCUGAUAGAUUUAUAUUAUUACAGAGCGUUAAUUUUUCGGAAUUAUAUAAUGGCAUAAUUAUCAUUGAUUUUUGUGUUUAUUAUAUGCUCUUGUAUGAUUAACAAUGCGAAAGAUUCAGGAUACCUUCGGGACCCGUCUUGAAACACGGACCAAGGAGUCUAACAUAUGUGCAAGUUAUUGGGAUGUAAACCUAAUAGCGUAAUUAACUUGACUAAUAAUGGGAUUAGUUUUUUAGCUAUUUAUAGCUAAUUAACACAAUCCCGGGGCGUUCUAUAUAGUUAUGUAUAAUGUAUAUUUAUAUUAUUUAUGCCUCUAACUGGAACGUACCUUGAGCAUAUAUGCUGUGACCCGAAAGAUGGUGAACUAUACUUGAUCAGGUUGAAGUCAGGGGAAACCCUGAUGGAAGACCGAAACAGUUCUGACGUGCAAAUCGAUUGUCAGAAUUGAGUAUAGGGGCGAAAGACCAAUCGAACCAUCUAGUAGCUGGUUCCUUCCGAAGUUUCCCUCAGGAUAGCUGGUGCAUUUUAAUAUUAUAUAAAAUAAUCUUAUCUGGUAAAGCGAAUGAUUAGAGGCCUUAGGGUCGAAACGAUCUUAACCUAUUCUCAAACUUUAAAUGGGUAAGAACCUUAACUUUCUUGAUAUGAAGUUCAAGGUUAUGAUAUAAUGUGCCCAGUGGGCCACUUUUGGUAAGCAGAACUGGCGCUGUGGGAUGAACCAAACGUAAUGUUACGGUGCCCAAAUUAACAACUCAUGCAGAUACCAUGAAAGGCGUUGGUUGCUUAAAACAGCAGGACGGUGAUCAUGGAAGUCGAAAUCCGCUAAGGAGUGUGUAACAACUCACCUGCCGAAGCAACUAGCCCUUAAAAUGGAUGGCGCUUAAGUUGUAUACCUAUACAUUACCGCUAAAGUAGAUGAUUUAUAUUACUUGUGAUAUAAAUUUUGAAACUUUAGUGAGUAGGAAGGUACAAUGGUAUGCGUAGAAGUGUUUGGCGUAAGCCUGCAUGGAGCUGCCAUUGGUACAGAUCUUGGUGGUAGUAGCAAAUAAUCGAAUGAGACCUUGGAGGACUGAAGUGGAGAAGGGUUUCGUGUGAACAGUGGUUGAUCACGAGUUAGUCGGUCCUAAGUUCAAGGCGAAAGCCGAAAAUUUUCAAGUAAAACAAAAAUGCCUAACUAUAUAAACAAAGCGAAUAUAAUACACUUGAAUAAUUUUGAACGAAAGGGAAUACGGUUCCAAUUCCGUAACCUGUUGAGUAUCCGUUUGUUAUUAAAUAUGGGCCUCGUGCUCAUCCUGGCAACAGGAACGACCAUAAAGAAGCCGUCGAGAGAUAUCGGAAGAGUUUUCUUUUCUGUUUUAUAGCCGUACUACCAUGGAAGUCUUUCGCAGAGAGAUAUGGUAGAUGGGCUAGAAGAGCAUGACAUAUACUGUUGUGUCGAUAUUUUCUCCUCGGACCUUGAAAAUUUAUGGUGGGGACACGCAAACUUCUCAACAGGCCGUACCAAUAUCCGCAGCUGGUCUCCAAGGUGAAGAGUCUCUAGUCGAUAGAAUAAUGUAGGUAAGGGAAGUCGGCAAAUUAGAUCCGUAACUUCGGGAUAAGGAUUGGCUCUGAAGAUUGAGAUAGUCGGGCUUGAUUGAUAACAUUAUGUGCUAAAUAGAGUUUCUUAGCAUUGUUACUUGUUCCCUCGGGCUUAAGACCAAACUUUUUUACACUUUAACGGAUUUGGUGGAAAAAAUGAACAAUUCAUUUUGCCCCAUGGUUAAGCUAAAAGGAAAAAUGGCGGCAAAAAGGGUGAAAUGUAACAAGUAUCUUCGAUAGGCGUAGCCAAAUGCCUCGUCAUCUAAUUAGUGACGCGCAUGAAUGGAUUAACGAGAUUCCUACUGUCCCUAUCUACUAUCUAGCGAAACCACAGCCAAGGGAACGGGCUUGGAAUAAUUAGCGGGGAAAGAAGACCCUUUUGAGCUUGACUCUAAUCUGGCAGUGUAAGGAGACAUAAGAGGUGUAGAAUAAGUGGGAGAUAUUAGACCUCGGUUUGGUAUCGUCAAUGAAAUACCACUACUCUUAUUGUUUCCUUACUUACUUGAUUAAAUGGAACGUGUAUCAUUUCCUAGCCAUUAUACGGAUAUAUUUAUUAUAUCUUAUGGUAUUGGGUUUUGAUGCAAGCUUCUUGAUCAAAGUAUCACGAGUUUGUUAUAUAAUCGCAAACAAAUUCUUUAAUAAAACGAUGCAUUUAUGUAUUUUUGAUUUGAAAAUUUGGUAUAACUCCAAUUACUCAGGUAUGAUCCAAUUCAAGGACAUUGCCAGGUAGGGAGUUUGACUGGGGCGGUACAUCUCUCAAAUAAUAACGGAGGUGUCCCAAGGCCAGCUCAGUGCGGACAGAAACCACACAUAGAGCAAAAGGGCAAAUGCUGACUUGAUCUCGGUGUUCAGUACACACAGGGACAGCAAAAGCUCGGCCUAUCGAUCCUUUUGGUUUAAAGAGUUUUUAACAAGAGGUGUCAGAAAAGUUACCAUAGGGAUAACUGGCUUGUGGCGGCCAAGCGUUCAUAGCGACGUCGCUUUUUGAUCCUUCGAUGUCGGCUCUUCCUAUCAUUGUGAAGCAAAAUUCACCAAGCGUUGGAUUGUUCACCCAUGCAAGGGAACGUGAGCUGGGUUUAGACCGUCGUGAGACAGGUUAGUUUUACCCUACUAAUGACAAAACGUUGUUGCGACAGCAUUCCUGCGUAGUACGAGAGGAACCGCAGGUACGGACCAAUGGCACAAUACUUGUUCGAGCGAACAGUGGUAUGACGCUACGUCCGUUGGAUUAUGCCUGAACGCCUCUAAGGUCGUAUCCGUGCUGGACUGCAAUGAUAAAUAAGGGGCAAUUUGCAUUGUAUGGCUUCUAAACCAUUUAAAGUUUAUAAUUUAUUUUAUAAACGACAAUGGAUGUGAUGCCAAUGUAAUUUGUAAAUAGUAAAUUAGGAGGAUCUUCGAUCACCUGAUAGCCGCACUAGUUACAUAUAAAAGCAUUAUUAAUACAAUGACAAAGGCCUAGAAUCAAUUGUAAACGACUUUUGGUAACAGGCAAGGUGUUGUAAGUGGUUGAGCAGCUGGCCAUUACUGCGAUCCACUGAAGCUUAUCCUUUGCUUGAUGUCAUUGA